UACGUAGGUGGCAAGCGUUGUCCGGAUUUACUGGGCGUAAAGAGCGCGCAGGCGGUCGUUCAAGUCGGAUGUGAAAGCCCCCGGCUCAACUGGGGAGGGUCAUUCGAUACUGAUCGACUCGAAGGCAGGAGAGGGAAGCGGAAUUCCCGGUGUAGUGGUGAAAUGCGUAGAUAUCGGGAGGAACACCGGUGGCGAAAGCGGCUCUCUGGUCCGGACCUGACGCUGAGGCGCGAAAGCGUGGGGAGCAAACAGG
rnacentral:rRNA from 1 species